GAUGAACGCUAGCGGCAGGCUUAAUACAUGCAAGUCGAGGGGCAGCACGGGUAGCAAUACCUGGUGGCGACCGGCAAACGGGUGCGGAACACGUACGCAACUUUCCCAAAACUGGUGAAUAGCCCUCCGAAAGGAGGAUUAAUACACCGUAACAUAAUGAAGUGGCAUCACUUUAUUAUUAUAGCUCCGGCGGUUUUGGAUGGGCGUGCGCCUGAUUAGGUAGUUGGCGGGUAACGGCCCACCAAGCCUUCGAUCAGUAACUGGUGUGAGAGCACGACCAGUCACACGGGCACUGAGACACGGGCCCGACUCCUACGGGAGGCAGCAGUAAGGAAUAUUGGUCAAUGGACGCAAGUCUGAACCAGCCAUGCCGCGUGAAGGAUGAAGGUCCUCUGGAUUGUAAACUUCUUUAUCUGGGACGAAAAAGGGAUUCUUUCUCACUUGACGGUACCAGAGGAAUAGCACGGCUAACUCCGUGCCAGCAGCCGCGGUAAU
rnacentral:rRNA from 1 species